rnacentral:rRNA from 1 species
AGCGAACGCUGGCGGCAGGCCUAACACAUGCAAGUCGAACGAACUCUUCGGAGUUAGUGGCGGACGGGUGGGUAACACGUGGGAACGUGCCUUUUGGUUCGGAAUAACUCAGGGAAACUUGUGCUAAUACCGAAUGUGCCCUUCGGGGGAAAGAUUUAUCGCCAUUAGAGCGGCCCGCGUCUGAUUAGCUAGUUGGUGAGGUAACGGCUCACCAAGGCGACGAUCAGUAGCUGGUCUGAGAGGAUGACCAGCCACACUGGGACUGAGACACGGCCCAGACUCCUACGGGAGGCAGCAGUGGGGAAUCUUGCGCAAUAGGCGAAAGCCUGACGCAGCCAUGCCGCGUGAAUGAUGAAGGUCUUAGGAUUGUAAAAUUCUUUCACCGGGGACGAUAAUGACGGUACCCGGAGAAGAAGCCCCGGCUAACUUCGUG